rnacentral:rRNA from 1 species
AUGACAAGCGUGACCAAAAAUCAGUUUGGUUUCAUGCCUGGGAGGUCGACCAUGGAAGCCAUUUUCUUGGUACGACAACUUAUGGAGAGAUAUAGGGAGCAUAAGAAGGACUUGCAUAUGGUGUUCAUUGACUUGGAGAAGGCCUAUGAUAAGAUACCGCGGAAUGUCAUGUGGUGGGCCUUGGAGAAACACAAAGUCCCAGCAAAGUACAUUACCCUCAUCAAGGACAUGUACAAUAAUGUUGUGACAAGUGUUCGAACAAGUGAUGUCGACACUGAUGACUUCCCGAUUAAGAUAGGACUGCACCAGGGGUCAGCUUUGAGCCCUUAUCUUUUUGCAUUGGUGAUGGAUGAGGUCACAAGGGGUAUACAAGGAGAUAUCCCAUGGUGUAUGCUCUUUGCGGAUGAUGUGGUGCUAGUUGAGGAUAGUCGGACGGGGGUAAAUAGGAAGUUAGAGUUAUGGAGACAAACCUUGGAAUCGAAAGGGUUUAGGCUUAGUAGAACUAAAACCGAGUACAUGAUCUGCGGUUUCAGUACUACUAGCUGUGAGGAGGAGGAGGUUAGCCUUGAUGGCCAGGUGGUACCUCGGAAGGACACCUUUCGGUAUUUGGGGUCAAUGUUGCAGGAGGAUGGGGGUAUUGAUCAAGAUGUGAACCAUCGAAUCAAAGCCGGAUGGAUGAAGUGGCGCCAAGCUUCUGGCAUUCUCUGUGACAAGAGAGUGCCACAAAAGCUAAAAGGCAAGUUCUACAGGACGGCGGUUCGACCCGCAAUGUUGUAUGGCGCGGAGUGUUGGCCGACUAAAAGGCGACAUGUUCAACAGUUAGGUGUGGCGGAGAUGCGUAUGUUGAGAUGGAUGUGUGGCCACACGAGGAAGGAUCGAGUUCGGAAUGAUGAUAUACGAGAUAGAGUUGGGGUAGCACCAAUUGAGGAGAAGCUUGUCCAACAUCGUUUGAGAUGGUUUGGGCAUAUUCAGCGCAGGCCUCCAGAAGCUCCAGUGCAUAGCGGACGGCUAAAGUGUGCGGAGAAUGUCAAGAGAGGGCGGGGUCGACCGAUUUUGACAUGGGAGGAGUCCGUUAAGAGAGACCUGAAGGAUUGGAGUAUCGACAAAGAUCUAGCUAUGGACAGGGGUGCGUGGAAGCUUGCUAUCCAUGUGCCAGAGCCAUGA